UUCAUUCUCUUCAUCACAUUCAGGUACACCUAUCAAAUGUAGAUUAGGUCUCUUCAUAUAGUCCCACAUUUCUUGGAGACUUUGUUCAUUCCUUUUUGUGCUUUUUUCCUCUAAUCUUGGCUUCUUGUUUUAUUUCAUUGAGUUGAUCUUCAACUUCUGAAAUUCUUUCUUCUGCUUGGUCAAUUCGGCUACUGAAACUUGUGCAUGCUUUGCGAAGUUCUCAUGUUGUGUUUUUCAGCUCCUUCAAUUCACUCAUAUUCCUCUCUAAGUUGUCCAUUCUUGUUAUUAUUUCCUCAAAUCUUUUUUCAAGGUUCUUAGUUUCUUUGCAUUGAUUUAGAACACGUUCUUUUAACUCAUGGAAUUUUCUCAUUACCCACCUUCUGAAUUCUGAUUCUGUCAUUUCAUCACAGUCAUUCUCCGUCCAGCUUUGUUUCCUUGCUGGUGAGGAGUUGUGAUCCCUUGUAGGAGGUGAGGUGUUCUGGUUUCUGGUGUUUUCCUCCUUUUUGUGCUGGUGUCUUCCCAUCUUUGUGUAUUUAUCCACCUGUUGUCUGAGUAGUUGCUGAUUUUCCAAUUGGGUCUCUGAAUGGACGUCCAGAGAAAUGAAAAGUUUUAAUUUUUCAUUGUUGAUAAUGAAGUAUUUCUGUUUCUUGGUUUUCCUUCUAACAGUCUAGCCCCUCUGCUGCUGGACUGCUGAGGUCCACUCCAGGCCCUGCUUGCCUGGGGAACUCCUGUAACAGCUGUGGAACUGUGAGGGUUGCUACCAGAUUCUUCUUCGGCUAUCCUUGUCCCUGAAUGAUGCGUGCCAAAUGUCAGUCUGAUCAGUCCUUUGUGAGGUUUAAUUUUCACUAGAAGAAGGGCUCAGUCACUCUUGACACAGUUUCUAAUUCUAUGCCACACCUAGGAUGCUCAGCCUGGUCACCAGAGAGGACUGAUUUUCUGGCUCAUGCCCUUCUUGUUCAGGAACUGCUGGAGUGCAAUGGCAAGAUCUUGGCUCAUCACAAACUCCGCCUACUGGGUUCAAGUGAUUCUCCUGCCUCAGCCUCCCAAGUAGCUGGGAUUAUAGGUGUGAGCCACUGCAUCCGUCCGAUUGUGCCUUUCUGAAGCAAUAUCUAUGUGUAAAAAUUUGGCAGCUCUCUAUGUCAGGCCUAAUGCCCUAGUGGGUCAAGGAUUUAUUCUAUAACUCAAAUUGUUAAAACCUGUUUUGGAGCUCUGGAGAUUUCUCUUUUACUGUUUUCCCAUACCCAGGAGCAGCUCUCAGUUGGUUCCUGACUAGGCAAACUGCUUUGAACCUUCUCUUUACUUACAGCUGGCACUUACUAUCUCUUCUCUGAUGAAUCCAAGCAUCCUUUCCUAGAAGAUCUGUACAGGAUGUGAGUAUCUACUUACUAUUCUAGCUCUUCUCCAUGUUGGAGGCAUGUACUACCUGUGUCUAGUCAGCCAUCUUGGUGUCUUCUCCAGUAGUUCACUGCUGUGGGAGGAACACCAAAGUAACAUGAAAAAAGGCUUAGAUAAAUAAAGGAGUAAAGGUUUGGGACA
rnacentral:lncRNA from 13 species